UACAGAGGUCUCAAGCGUUGUUCGGAUUCAUUGGGCGUAAAGGGUGCGUAGGUGGCGGGGUAAGUCAGGUGUGAAAUCUCGGGGCUCAACCCCGAAACUGCACUUGAUACUGCCUUGCUCGAGUACUGGAGAGGAGAUUGGAAUUUACGGUGUAGCAGUGAAAUGCGUAGAUAUCGUAAGGAAGACCAGUGGCGAAGGCGAAUCUCUGGACAGUUACUGACACUGAGCACGAAGGCCAGGGGAGCAAACGGG
rnacentral:rRNA from 1 species